CCUACGGGAGGCUGCAGUAGGGAAUUUUGCACAAUGGGCGCAAGCCUGAUGCAGCAAUGCCGCGUGAGUGAAGAAGGCUCUUGGGUUGUAAAGCUCUUUCGGCCAAGAAGCGGUAUUGGAAGAAGAAGCACCUGCUAACUUCGUGCCAGCAGCAGCGGUAAUACGAAGGGUGCAAGCGUUGUUCGGAAUUACUGGGCGUAAAGCGCGCGUAGGCGGGUCUAUAAGUAGAUUGUGAAAUCCCUGGGCUCAACCCGGGACGUGCAGUCUAAACUGUAGAUCUUGAAUGUCUGAGAGGAUGGCGGAAUUCCCGGUGUAGUAGUGAAAUACGUAGAUAUCGGGAAGAACACCUGAGGCGAAGGCGGCUAUCUGGCGGAAAUGACGCUAAGGCGCGAAAGCGUGGGGAGCAAACAGGAUUAGAUACCCUUGUAGUC
rnacentral:rRNA from 1 species